AGUCUUUCCCAACAUCAGGGUCUUUUACAGGGAAUUUUCUCUUCUCAUAACUCCCUGGAAAAGACCCUGAUGUUGGGAAAGGCU